rnacentral:sRNA from 1 species
AAAUUGAUUCGAAAAACAAACCUGGGAAAAACAAGAGAUUGAAUGAAGACUCAUACGGUGAAAUCGAAAACACAAAGCCGACAAUCUCCCACGGCGAAAAUGGGAUGCAACGGCGACAAACUAAACUAUUUCCGACGGAAGAAGAACAAGAGAGAGAGAAAAUGAAUUAGGUCGAUGAAGUGUACGUAGUUCAGUAAGGGUAUUUUGGGAAUAAACCUAUUAGAUGGGGUAGAAAUAAAAAUGGGAAAAAGGGUAGAGUUGAAAAGGGGCAAUAAAAAAAGGGCAUUAGAGUGAAUUAUUCAAAAACAAAUUCCCGCCUAAAUUUUUUCCGUAACAAUUUUUUCCCCAGCCAAAAAAAUGUAUUUAAAAAUCCUUGUAAAUUUUUAACGAAAGAGGAUGUCGGUACACUUCUGAUGACUCAUCAACACGUGUUACGGUUGUAAUCUCAAGAUGACACGUAAAUUUGUUAGAACCCAAAUGAUAAAACUCU